GAUUCAAUGGUGUAGUGGUUAUCACGUUCGCUUCACAAAAGUGUCCGCGAAAGGUCUCCAGUUCAAUCCUGGAUUGAAUCA